UACGUAGGCAGCGAGCGUUGUUCGGAGUUACUGGGCGUAAAGAGUGCGUAGGCGGUUUCGUAAGUCUGGUGUGAAAUCUCCCGGCUCAACUGGGAGGGUGCGCCGGAAACUGCGGAGCUGGAGUGUGGGAGGGGCAAGCGGAAUUCCUGGUGUAGCGGUGAAAUGCGUAGAUAUCAGGAGGAACACCUGCGGUGUAGACGGCUUGCUGGACCACUACUGACGCUGAGGCACGAAAGCGUGGGGAGCAAACAGG
rnacentral:rRNA from 1 species